CUUGCUUCUCUUGAGAGCGGCGGACGGGUGAGUAAUGCCUAGGAAUCUGCCUAGUGGUGGGGGAUAACGUUCGGAAACGGACGCUAAUACCGCAUACGUCCUACGGGAGAAAGCGGGGGAUCUUCGGACCUCGCGCCAUUAGAUGAGCCUAGGUCGGAUUAGCUAGUUGGUGAGGUAAUGGCUCACCAAGGCGACGAUCCGUAACUGGUCUGAGAGGAUGAUCAGUCACACUGGAACUGAGACACGGUCCAGACUCCUACGGGAGGCAGCAGUGGGGAAUAUUGGACAAUGGGCGAAAGCCUGAUCCAGCCAUGCCGCGUGUGUGAAGAAGGUCUUCGGAUUGUAAAGCACUUUAAGUUGGGAGGAAGGGUAGUAACCUAAUACGUUGCUACUUUGACGUUACCGACAGAAUAAGCACCGGCUAACUUCGUGCCAGCAGCCGCGGUAAUACGAAGGGUGCAAGCGUUAAUCGGAAUUACUGGGCGUAAAGCGCGCGUAGGUGGUUCAGUAAGUUGGAAGUGAAAUCCCCGGGCUCAACCUGGGAACUGCUUUCAAAACUGCUGAGCUAGAGUACGGUAGAGGGUGGUGGAAUUUCCUGUGUAGCGGUGAAAUGCGUAGAUAUAGGAAGGAACACCAGUGGCGAAGGCGACCACCUGGACUGAUACUGACACUGAGGUGCGAAAGCGUGGGGAGCAAACAGGAUUAGAUACCCUGGUAGUCCACGCCGUAAACGAUGUCAACUAGCCGUUGGAAUCCUUGAGAUUUUAGUGGCGCAGCUAACGCAUUAAGUUGACCGCCUGGGGAGUACGGCCGCAAGGUU
rnacentral:rRNA from 1 species